rnacentral:rRNA from 1 species
CCUACGGGAGGCAGCAGUGGGGAAUAUUGCGCAAUGGGCGAAAGCCUGACGCAGCGACGCCGCGUGAGGGAUGACGGCCUUCGGGUUGUAAACCUCUUUCAGCAGGGAAGAAGCGAAAGUGACGGUACCUGCAGAAGAAGCACCGGCUAACUACGUGCCAGCAGCCGCGGUAAUACGUAGGGUGCGAGCGUUGUCCGGAAUUAUUGGGCGUAAAGAGCUCGUAGGCGGCCUGUCGCGUCGGAUGUGAAAACUCGGGGCUUAACCCCGAGCCUGCAUUCGAUACGGGCAGGCUAGAGUUCGGCAGGGGAGACUGGAAUUCCUGGUGUAGCGGUGAAAUGCGCAGAUAUCAGGAGGAACACCGGUGGCGAAGGCGGGUCUCUGGGCCGAUACUGACGCUGAGGAGCGAAAGCGUGGGGAGCGAACAGGAUUAGAUACCCUGGUAGUCCACGCCGUAAACGUUGGGAACUAGGUGUGGGCGACAUUCCACGUCGUCCGUGCCGCAGCUAACGCAUUAAGUUCCCGCCUGGGGAGUACGGCCGCAAGGCUAAAACUUAAAGAGUAGUGACGCGUAGAGCGCGACGAGCACACGGAGGUAGAGG